AACACAUGCAAGUCGAACGAAGGCUUCGGCCUUAGUGGCGCACGGGUGCGUAACGCGUGGGAAUCUGCCCCUUGGUUCGGAAUAACAGUUGGAAACGACUGCUAAUACCGGAUGAUGACGUAAGUCCAAAGAUUUAUCGCCGAGGGAUGAGCCCGCGUAGGAUUAGGUAGUUGGUGUGGUAAAGGCGCACCAAGCCGACGAUCCUUAGCUGGUCUGAGAGGAUGAUCAGCCACACUGGGACUGAGACACGGCCCAGACUCCUACGGGAGGCAGCAGUGGGGAAUAUUGGACAAUGGGCGAAAGCCUGAUCCAGCAAUGCCGCGUGAGUGAUGAAGGCCUUAGGGUUGUAAAGCUCUUUUACCCGGGAUGAUAAUGACAGUACCGGGAGAAUAAGCUCCGG
rnacentral:rRNA from 1 species